UGCCAGCAUGAUCUAAUUAG
rnacentral:snRNA from 1 species